UGGAAGCCCAGUAAAAUCCUGGGAAGGCUCCUAGUUCAGUCUGUUACUCUGCUCUCAGAAACUCAUGGCUUCACGACUCACCCAGAGCCCUGGGCGGUCCUGAGCCUUGCUCCUUCUGUCGAUGGCCCCCCAUCUAGCCAUUUAGACUUUCUCUUUCAGAACUCCUCACUAAGUCAAGGCUUUCGGAUUCACUGAUAGAAGGCUUAUCUCCACAUCUGCUCUCAUUUGUUGCUUCUGUGAUUAGUGACAGGAGCCGCAGUCCCUCGUAAAUGACCCAUUUGAUCCACAGCACAGGAAGGGGAAGAAGAGAAUUCAACUGACGAGCAGAAGAUGAAGUAAUUGUUGAAUGUCCUGUUCUGCACCAGCACAGCAGAGCAUACAGAAAUACAGGGCACUGUCCUGAUCUUCCAGAAACUGCCAGAUUUCUGUGACAAACCCAGAAUUCAAAAGUUGGCUGGAGGGAGCAGUGGAUUCCCAGACUGGAGAAAAGAACAAGGAAAGGGGAAUUCCUGCCAAUCAAGCAAGCUUUUCAAGGUGUUUUUUCCUGGCCCUGGCAAAAGUAUGUACAGAAAGGAUGAUACCCUUAUUUCCUCAGGGUAACCCAAUCUAGUAAGAAAAUUCAAGAAAAAUUAAACUGCACGAUUCUAGCGUUGCAUCGGUCUGAAGUCACGGGACUUGCUGUAAGAACACAAUUACGCACUUGAAGAUGAGAGAGAGAGUGUCCUGACUGUAAAGCACCUUGUUUACUACGGCGUCUUCUGCUCGGCACUCAGCACACUUUGCCCCUGGAGAAUGCCUUCAUUACCAGCGCAUGGCGGCCACUUGCCAGCACAGGGAGCUCGCCCCCGCGGCCUGGCUGCUAAUAAAGAAAGCACUUCAUUUACACCAGGGGAGUCUCUCCAGUCAAGUCCAUAAUAAAAGGGCAAGUCAUAGUUAGAACAGAAUUUGGUUUAUACUAUAGCAACUAUGUAAACUCUUACUGACACCGAGGAACACAGAUGACUCUUAACUGGGAAGACAGUUUGCCCAGAGAAAGAGCAAAUAGAGUCCCUUGACCUACUCCUUUAGUAGCAAAAUCAUAUUAAGGCUGUAUGGAAGAAUGAACCUAGCAUGAAAUCAGCACAGUCAGCUUGUCUAAACAGGCAAAAGUCAAACCAAGAAUACAGAAUGCAAAAACAAAACAA